rfam:Heligmosomoides polygyrus genome assembly, scaffold: HPBE_scaffold0004516
GCGCAGGUGGUGUAAGGCGAACAUCGCUGCCCGCAAGGCAGAAGAUGCGGGUUCGAGUCCCGCCUGGCGAG